UGAUUUUAGGUUUAUAUCAGAAUGAUUGGAUGUGUCUCUUUUCAGAUGUUCAUUAGCCUGUUGGAGGGAGUUAUAAAACAGACUACACAGAAGAAGCCAGUCAGGCCUCCUGCUCCUGAGAGGAGAUGAAUACACCCAAUCAAACCAGUGCUCUCUGUCCUGGCCCUGUAUCAACCCGCUGAAGAAUGGCAGCAAAUCAGUAGUUUGAUUAUGUAAAGUAAAAGUAAGUAUUGAUGUUAUGUUUAGUUAGUUAACGACUGACUGAGGGAUGGGCCGUGUGGAGGAACAUGAUAGGUGCAGGGCAGAGCGUACCCCUUUAUAAUGGUUACAGGGCAGAGUAUACCCCCUUCAACUACACUGUAGUAUAGAGAUGGGAUUAGGUAUCUAUUGUGAUGGAGUAGAAAGCCCCUGGACUCUCAGG
rnacentral:lncRNA from 1 species